rnacentral:lncRNA from 10 species
UAAACUUUACCAAGGGCAUUGCCAACCCUUUGCUCACUGGUAGAUCAGUGCCUCUUAAUUUUUUUCCUUCUUGCCAGUCUCCAAUGCUACCACCAAGGCUCUCUUGCUUUUUUUCUUUCCCCUCUCUCUCUACUCUUUUAAUUAAAUCCUAACUCAUCUCUCUGCUUCCAACCCUGCCUCUGCAUUAGUCAGUGCUUCUUAACAGGGGCAGGGCACACUCCUUGGAUUGUGGGAGUGGAAAAUUGAUUGGAUAUUGGUCACCACCAUAAUUGGAGAGGUACUGCUGCCGUUUAGUGUACAGAGGCCGCAGAGGUUAGAGACGCAGCAACGCAUGGCUAUUCAGCCACGGACGUCAAAUGCCUGCCAGACAUUUAGCUACCCUGUCUAGCAGAACCAUGUCCCAUUUGACAGAUGAGUGAACCAAGCCUUAAAUGGGAAGAAGAAGAAGGCGGAGGAGAAGGAGGAGGAAAGAAGAAGAAGAAAGAGGAGGAGGAAGAGGAGAAGGGGAGGAGGAAGAAGAGGAGCAGCUGACAAAGUUCCCAUAGUGGAAUGUGGAAGACCUUGGUUUCAAAUUUAGUCGUCUAACUCCAAAUCAGUGUAUUUUACUGGGCUGUAGCUUAAUAAAUACAAGAAGCUACCCUCUCUCCUUGAGAAAUACUCCCUAGGCUGUGGCUCAUUUUAGAGAGUAAGAAGUGUUUAGAUAGGAUAACAGAGAUAAUUUACAAAGGGCAAAAGGAAGACUAUGAUUCAGGAGCAGACGAAUGAGAAUCAGAACCAUUGUCAAGAAUUAGGCCCAGUGAAAAAAUGGGACAUGUAAAAGAGAGAGAAAGAAAGUCCAAAAUGUCUGAGCAAUGUAACAGGCCUGCCAUUUAUCUCACUUCUGAAUAUCAGAAAAGGCAGCAUUUGUUGUCCACAGAAAAAUACAUGGGAUUUAUAGACACUGCCAGGCUCAAGGACCAGUGACACAACUCCCACCGCAGAGAGCCCUGUGGGGUGCUUUCCAGUGGCCACUGGUGGAGUGGGCAGAGUCCUCGGGGAACCAGAGGCCUGCUAUGCAUCUGGAGAGCUGCUUGCUCAGGAUGUCAUGGCUAAACUCCUUGAUCUCUUGGCAGCGUGUGGCCCCGUGAAAUGUGCUUCUUCUUUUUGAAAAGGCCUCUUUUUUUGGAAGUCAAGUCACCACACCAUUUAGAUUCCCCAUACUUCUGGACAGCAUCUUCCCAAGUGCUUUCCCCAACUUGUGGUCAACCCUGUCUUAUACCUCAUCUCGAUCUCUGUCAAUCAACACUAUUCACCCCUCAAGACACGCUUCGACUGACUGCCCCCGCAACCCUUCCAUGGAGUCCUGUCUUUUGGUCGUCCCAGUGAGAAGGGAUCUCUCUCUUCUGAAUGCCUUUCCAAGGUUAGAAUGCUGAGUGUCAGUGAUGCUGAGGAGUGGCUGAGUGACUUGGAGCAUCGCUUCCUGGACCCAGGUUACAGUACUUCUCAAUGACAGUCUGACUGCACUCAGCCUGCUGCACAGUGGAGUCAGGAGGACCCCAAGAACAUCU